UACGGAGGGUGCGAGCGUUAAUCGGAAUCACUGGGCGUAAAGCGCGCGUAGGCGGCUUUUCAAGUCAGGGGUGAAAUCCCACGGCCCAACCGUGGAACUCCCUUUGAAACAGUAGAGCUUGAGUGUCGGAGAGGGUGGCGGAAUUCCAGGUGUAGGAGUGAAAUCCGUAGAUAUCUGGAGGAACACCGGUGGCGAAGGCGGCCACCUGGACGACAACUGACGCUGAGGUGCGAAAGCGUGGGUAGCAAACAGG
rnacentral:rRNA from 1 species